AAAAAACAAAUCAUCGUGAUAAAAUGUCUGGCAAUUAUUCUACAGCACGUCUAUAUAAACCCUGAGACUGGUCUGCAAAGAUGCUCUCUUUUGAAGAAGUCAGAACUGAAAAUUUGGUUAGAACUCAGGACUGCUCUUCUAGUGCACAAUCACACUCCAAGGCCCUUCCCUGGAACACUCUGGAAGUCUGAGGAACCUGCAGGCACUUGUGGUUGCUGAAGCCCUCCUCUUAGCAGCAGACAGCAGGCAGUCCUCUUGCCCGGGCGGGCUGCCUUCAGAGACAAAAAUGGGAGAAAGACCCUUCGGUGCAAUAGAGUGCUUACUUUCUUUGGAUGAUAGAUUCUUUUGCUGGGUUCAGUGGAGCCAGACAGGAUGGCGAUCUCCCCUAAAAAUCUGAGUGGGAGAAGAACCAGGAGAAAGACACUAAAGCUAGAAGACAGAAAGUGGAAAUGUGAUGGAACCAGGUCAUGGAGCAGGCAGAAGGAGAUGGCAUUAACAGUAAAAUACAGACUGUAUUUGGAAUUAAUGACUCAGAUUGCCUCCAGAGCAUGUUGUAUCGGGAAAACUCACCAAGACUCAAACUGAGGCAGAGAAAAAAAUGGACAUGGAAGGAUGAGGAUGUGGCCUAAGUGAUGGUGGAGUCCAGACACAGCACUGAGAGCUGUAGGCCUCAGAAAAGAUGCACCACCUGAAUGGGGGUUAUAUCUUCAUAAAAUAGGACACGUAGAAAUGGAAGCAAUGAGAAUCAGCAUAAGUGAAUAUGGAAGCCACGUGUCUUUGAUGACCUAGCCUCAGGAAUUAUGCGCCAUUAUUUCUGAGAUAUCCCAUUGGUAACACGGGUCACCACUACUUAGUGUAGGCAGGGACAACAUAGGGCAUGAAUACUAAGUGAGAAUCACAGAGAACCAUUUUAGAGGCUGACUACCACACAGUGGAUUAUCUUCCUUCAACGACGUUGAUGAAGUUUGGCCCUUUUGACUUCAAGCUCCCAAAGUACUUCCUUCAGAACUGGAAUAUUUACCGAAUUGUCUGCCCUCAUUCUCUUCUUUCAGAGUAGCAGCACCCAUAAUCACGAAGGUAGGGCCUUGAAUGGAAAGAUCAAUAUCAUCAUUACAGGAAAAAUUAUCCACCAAGUAAGUCAAGCCCAUGAAUAAUCUCUUCAGUGUUCUAAGAGAGAGCUUUUAUCUUUCCUCAAUACAAAUAAGCAAACAAGAAGACACUUUCUGCUUGAGGUUAAACCGAAUACUCAAGACUUGCCAUUUGGAAAGUCACUGAACUUAUAUGGAUUAAGGAAGAAUGUCAUAGCCUCUUACAUCCUUGACAAAAGUCCCGCAUGUAGUUAAUGGAUAAUUUAAGGCUCGUAUCCUGAUGAAAUUGACAAAAGUUAAGCAGCAGUGGACACAGUUUCAAAAUUGUUGGCUAAGUCUUAGAGGUGAGCACGUGCCAAUGUCAAAAGCCAUGAGACACAAUGAGAUGUUGUGGUUCUUUAUACACCAAAGAAGCAAAACCAGGUGUAUUGGUGCCAAGCAUGGCAUGUGCUUCAUAAGUUCAAGUAUCGAGAUUUUGUAUCCAAGUCAGACUUUUGUUUGGCAAACAAACUCUUUUAUGAUUUGGGGGGAUGUCAAUGGUCUUUGAGGUUUCAAAAAAAGACUUACAAAAUAAGAAUUCUCUGAUAGUAUGCAUGUGCAGCUAGUGGACAAAAACCAAGAGCUAGAUACAUUGGAAAAUGUCAGUAAGUAUCUUCAUGGGAAAUGGUUUAUUAAUCAAUUCUUUCAUGAC